GCCCAAGCACUUCCUUUCAUUAAAUCUAGUAUUGAUUAGCAAUUUCUCUCAUAUUAGUUAGACUGUUUAUAGUUUCUUAUGUUUAAUGAAAACAAACAGGUAUGGCAUAGAGCAGGAGUACACCUUGAUGAAAAAGUUUGUAAAAUGCCACAUUUGACAUAUCUCUUGUUUGUCAAUUUGCAGUCUCUACUUGUAUCAUAUCUAUGCUGUAACUUUGAUUUAAUCUCCAGUGUUUUUUGGAUUCCUCUGUUCCCAAAAUUCUGUUGGGAUUAGAAAUUGUGGCCUCUUCUUGGUCAUCCUGGACAUUUCAUGUAUCACCUCACUUGUUAGCAGAAGCAACAGAGCUGAGCCAGGUUCUUUAGGGUGGGGUUGCAUUUACUUUAAACUACAUGAUUACUGGGCUGUGGUGAAACAAGGGACCAUACUACUGUGGUGUUGGUGCUGCAAGGCUAGGCCUUUGGCCAUGCUAUUUUGGAUGUGCUCAUUACAAAGCCUAUCUAUAUGCUGGCAUCAACAUCAGUGGCACCAAUGGAGAAGUAAUGUCUGGCCAAGGUGACUGGAAUGGGGGAUGGUGCUCACGCUAGCAAGAGGUAUCAUGUGAAUGUGAUCCAUUAGUAGGGAUUUUUCAUAACAUUUUCCCAAGUAUAGUAUGGCUUGAAGGUAAUUCCUUAUAGUUGUGCAAAAUUCCCUCCGUAGUUUUGUACUUUUUUUAUGUUAGGGAACCUCUCCAAGGCAGGACUCUUUGAACCCAUCCCUGCAGAGUAAACCUCGGUCCCGUGUACCACACCCUUAGAAGUUUCUCUAUACGAAACUGGUUAAAUCGUUGGCUUUUCACAGGGGGUGUGGCCCCAAAGGAUUGUUUGCACC